UUUGCCUGGGAUCUGUCAGAGAGGAGGUUCGCUAAGUGCUGCAUCAGGGGGGCUGUGCUGGACAGAAGUGACAAAGUGCAAGCUGGUCUCCAUAUUGGAAGAGAAGGUUCUAGGUCUGGAGAAACAAGUAUCAACCGUGCGUUGCCUACGAGAAAAUGAAGAUUUCCUGGACAGACGUCAGGAUAUGCUUCUACGGGCACAACGUUCUGAAGAUUCAGAGCAGGCUGCCCAGAGUGGACAGAGGGACGGUGAAGAAAUUUGGCAGCAUGUGACCUCCAGAAGAAGAAAGAGGAGCGUCCAUGUACCAGCAAUGGAGAUACAGCUACGGGUUGCUCUGCAGAAACAUCUUCCUGAGCAUCUUUCUGGGUUUCAGUUGAGUCUAGAACGACUUCUGAGACAACUGACGUCCUCAAUCAUCAGAAGCUGAGAGACACAUUCUGUCUGCUCCUCAGAGAGAAGAUUGGAGAAAAACUCUUCCCCAGCAGAUAAACUGCCAUUCUUAACAGUCACCAGGUUUGGAAUUUCUUCCCCUUUGUUUCCAGACAAACUUUUGGAGAUUGGGAUAUCUCCCUCCAUGGGCAAGUUAUUACCCCCAACACACACAGUCCUAGGAACACUUCCUUCCUGGGUUUUAGUUGAGUCCAGAAUCACAUCUGGCAAAACUGACAAAUCCUCAGUCAGCAUAAACUGAGAGGUACUUUC